AUCAAGAUCAGGCAUUUAACAACUAACUUGUGCGCCUUGCCAUUAUGGCUAAAGCACUAAAGCGGAGUAA
rnacentral:ncRNA from 2 species